rnacentral:rRNA from 1 species
AUUGAACGCUGGCGGCAUGCCUUACACAUGCAAGUCGAACGGUAACGGGCCUUCGGGUGCCGACGAGUGGCGAACGGGUGAGUAAUGCAUCGGAACGUACCUUUCAGUGGGGGAUAACGUAGCGAAAGUUACGCUAAUACCGCAUAUUCUGUGAGAAGGAAAGCAGGGGAUCGCAAGACCUUGCGCUGAUUGAGCGGCCGAUGUCAGAUUAGCUAGUUGGUGAGGUAAAGGCUCACCAAGGCGACGAUCUGUAGCGGGUCUGAGAGGAUGAUCCGCCACACUGGAACUGAGACACGGUCCAGACUCCUACGGGAGGCAGCAGUGGGGAAUCUUGGACAAUGGGGGCAACCCUGAUCCAGCCAUGCCGCGUGAGUGAAGAAGGCCUUCGGGUUGUAAAGCUCUUUCGGUCGGGAAGAAAUCGCAUGGGUUAAUACCCUGUGCGGAUGACGGUACCGGCAUAAGAAGCACCGGCUAACUACGUGCCAGCAGCCGCGGUAAAAC